rnacentral:lncRNA from 1 species
AUUUGAGAAGCAUGGAUACCAAGAUAAAGUGCUGGGAAGAUAGGCAAGCUGAAAGCAAUGGUGUAGAGUAGGACUUCACUGCUACUGAAAUAAACUAAAAUGGCUUGCAUGCUGUGGCACAAAUAUUGCAUCAGGCUGUGGGCCAUGUUCAUGUUUUGAAAUCAAGAUUGAUUAACCAACACAAAAAGACCCAGCUGGUUA